AGAAAUUACAAGUAUUCAAUUAGAAUUCAAACCUGAAAUAUUUUUGUUGGGAAUGUUAAAAGGGGACUAUGCAAAUGAAAUGAAAUAUUUAAUUCUCCAUAUAAUCACAGUGGCAACAAUUGUGUUGGCACAAUGUUGGAAGGGCGAACAAAUGCCAACAAAUAAUUUGAUUACUCAGAAAAUACUUGACUGCGCUGAAAUGGACCUACUCACACAAAAACUUAGGAAUAAGGAAGACUCAAGAUAUAUUACAGCUUGGGAUAAAUGGUAUAAGUGGAUUAAAGAGAAAAAAACCAGGAAAUUAAAAGGCAUGUUUUUGAUGAAUGGAGUAGUUAAAUUAAGAAUGUUUACCAAAUAAGAAACAAAUAGUAGUAAAAUUAUUAUCCAG